UGCAGAGGGUGUGGGGUGGCGUAGGCUUGUCGGUGAAGGAGCUCAGACUCAGGGUGGGAUGAUCUGGAACUCCCAUAGACAAGACUAGGAAAGAAAAAGGGUGGUCUCAGUGGACUGCAGCUCUUGCAGCAGCUCUCUUCUGUCAAAAUGCCUCAUUUUGACGACGCUGCACCGGCACCAUGCCAAAUGAUCAAGGAGGACGCUAACAAGUGCCUCAGAGAAAAGAAGGCGGUGGACUGCAAAGAUCUGAUGGUUGCCUUCCAGGUCUGUGUAAAAACUCUGUCAGCGGGAGCUUAGUUUUAAAACAUCGAUUUAAAAUCUUCUCUUCAAAUACUUUCACUUCAGUGUUUUAACUCGUUUCACUGGAUUGAGACUUUUAAACCAUGAAGAUUACACCUUUGAUUCUUCCAUAAUGUUUAUCUUUAUCAAACUGACAAUAAAAUGAAUACAAUUAA